rnacentral:rRNA from 1 species
GACGAACGCUGGCGGCGUGCUUAACACAUGCAAGUCGAACGGAAAGGCCCUGCUUUUGUGGGGUGCUCGAGUGGCGAACGGGUGAGUAACACGUGAGUAACCUGCCCUUGACUUUGGGAUAACUUCAGGACACUGGGGCUAAUACCGGCUAGGAGCUCCUGCUGCAUGGUGGGGGUUGGAAAGUUUCGGCGGUUGGGGAUGGACUCGCGGCUUAUCAGCUUGUUGGUGGGGUAGUGGCUUACCAAGGCUUUGACGGGUAGCCGGCCUGAGAGGGUGACCGGCCACAUUGGGACUGAGAUACGGCCCAGACUCCUACGGGAGGCAGCAGUGGGGAAUAUUGCACAAUGGGCGGAAGCCUGAUGCAGCAACGCCGCGUGCGGGAUGACGGCCUUCGGGUGGUAAACCGCUUUCGCCUGUGACGAAGCGGGAGUGACGGUAAUGGGUAAAGAAGCACCGGCUAACUACGUG